rnacentral:rRNA from 1 species
CCUACGGGAGGCCGCAGUGGGGAAUAUUGGGCAAUGGGCGCAAGCCUGAACCAGCAACGCCGCGUGAAGGCAGAAGGCUUUCGGGUUGUAAACUUCUUUUGUCCGGGACGACGCAAGUGACGGUACCUGACGAAUAAGCCACGGCUAACUACGUGCCUGCAGCCGCGGUAAUACGUAGGUGGCAAGCGUUCUCCGGAUUUACUGGGUGUAAAGGGCGAGUAGGCGGGGAAGCAAGUCAGAUGUGAAAACCACGGGCUCAACCUGUGGCCUGCAUUUGAAACUGUUGUUCUUGAGUGCUGGAGAGGCAAGCGGAAUUCCGUGUGUAGCGGUGAAAUGCGUAGAUAUACGGAGGAACACCAGUGGCGAAGGCGGAUUGCUGGACAGUAACUGACGCUGAGGCGCGAAAGCGUGGGGAGCAAACAGGAUUAGAUACCCGAGUAGUC